GACGAACGCUGGCGGCGUGCUUAACACAUGCAAGUCGAACGGAAAGGCCCUGCUUUUGUGGGGUGCUCGAGUGGCGAACGGGUGAGUAACACGUGAGUAACCUGCCCUUGACUUUGGGAUAACUUCAGGAAACUGGGGCUAAUACCGGACAGGAGCUCCUGCUGCAUGGUGGGGGUUGGAAAGUUUCGCCGGUUGGGGAUGGACUCGCGGCUUAUCAGCUUGUUGGUGGGGUAGUGGCUUACCAAGGGUUUGACGGGUAGCCGGCCUGUGAGGGUGACCGGCAACAAUGAGACGGAGGUACGGCACAGACUGCUAAGGGAGGAAGCAGUGGGGAAGAUUGAGCAAUAGGCGGAAGCCUGUUGCAGCAACGCCGCGUGUGGGAAAACGGCCUUCGGGUUGUAAACCGCUUUCGCCUGUAAAGAAGCGUGAGUGACAGUAAUGGGUAAAGAAGGUCCGGCUAACUACGUG
rnacentral:rRNA from 1 species